GGGGGGGUUAGGAUAAUACUGGGUGACAAGCUAAGAAGUAUUUUUUCAGGAAAUUGAUUUUUACAUUUUUUUAUUCGAUUAGGAACUUUGCUUUUUUGAUUUUAAGUAUUUUUUAUGGUGCAAAUGCUAUUUUUUUUCACGGUGCUAUCAAUUUAUGUGCUUUAUCUGAUAUUUUGACGCGCAAGUAUUUUGAGUUACAGAAAAUUUAAAGUAUAAAUAGGAUUAACGAGUAUCCUCAUUUGGAUUUGUCUAAAUCCCUGUUUGGGUCGUUCCAUACGGAUACCCAUGUUCGGUCCAGCUAAGCAUCCAAGGAACAACCCAUGGCCAAUAGUGACAAUGAGCUCGAGAGAAUAUGGAACAGCUACGCCAUACUCAAGAUGGUUGACUGUAUAGUCAAAUGGAGAAGCGGAUUGAGUUAGUGAAAUUUCCAGAUGAAUUUCCCUAGAUUGGAAUACCCUAGGGAUUAUGAUUCCAUCGAGGUACAAAGGGUAUUGAAAUUCUCAAUCAGAAUCUACAGCCUAUAAGAGUUACCUAAAAACAGAUUGCCAAAGGAAUGAUAAUCAGAAGGUUUAUCCUUUGAUCUCGCGCAAGAAAAAUAAAAGAAUGAGAAAAAAAAAUGAGUUAAAGGGGGUUGGGAGUUGAUAUACAAUAAUCGUACGACUGAACCGUCUUCAAGAAGUACUUAAUGACGAGAGGGUAGCAAUAUCAGAGAAGUAGUACCAACCGCUUCUGCUUUGCAAGACCUUAAACUCGUGUAACAAAUUUAAAAAUAGCUGGCGGCCAUAUUGCUUUAAAAAAAAACAAUCAUUGAAUCAACAUCAGCGGGGAUCGUAAAUACGUGAGUGAAUUUUUAAGGGAUAAUUUCUUAUGGAACCACCGGGUUGGCAAGCAUGGUGGAGCCUUGGCGUAUGCUGAUAUAAGCUCUCUUGUUCUUGCUCUACUUGGACCUCUUCUUCGUCGACUACAUUCAAACUCCCUAGACCCCCGAAGUCACCGAUAAGGGUUACUCCGGUGUAAA